GGUCUCAUAGCAUAAUUGGUUAAUGCACCGCCCUGUCACGGCGGAGAGUGCGGGUUCAAGCCCCGCUGGGAUCGCCA
rnacentral:tRNA from 1 species